AUUCUGGUUGAUCCUGCCAGUAGUUAUAUGCUUGUCUCAAAGAUUAAACCAUGCAUGUCUAAGUACACACGAAUUAACAGUGAAACCGCAAAAGGCUCAUUAUAUCAGCUAUGGUUCCUUAGAUCGUUAACAGUUACUUGGAUAACUGUGGUAAUUCUAGAGCUAAUACAUGCAAUUAAAACACGGACCUUUUGGAACGUGUGCUUUUAUUAGGCUAAAACCAAGCGAUCGCAAGAUCGUUUUAUUGGUUGAACUCUAGAUAACAUGCAGAUCGUAUGGUCUUGUACCGACGACAGAUCUUUCAAAUGUCUGCCUUAUCAACUUUUGAUGGUAGUAUCUAGGACUACCAUGGUUGCAACGGGUAACGGGGAAUCAGGGUUCGAUUUCGGAGAGGGAGCCUGAGAAACGGCUACCACAUCUAAGGAAGGCAGCAGGCGCGUAAAUUACCCACUCCCAGCUCGGGGAGGUAGUGACGAAAAAUAACAAUACAGGACUCAUAUC
rnacentral:ncRNA from 1 species